AGGACGAACGCUGGCGGCGUGCUUAACACAUGCAAGUCGAGCGGCAAGGCCCUUCGGGGUACUCGAGCGGCGAACGGGUGAGUAACACGUGAGUAAUCUGCCCCUAGCUCUGGGAUAGCUCCGGGAAACCGGGAUUAAUACCGGAUAAGACCACUUUAGACAUCUGCCGUGGUGGAAAGAAUUUCGGCUAGGGAUGUGCUCGCGGCCUAUCAGCUUGUUGGUGGGGUAAAGGCCCACCAAGGCGACGACGGGUAGCCGGCCUGAGAGGGCGACCGGCCACACUGGGACUGAGACACGGCCCAGACUCCUACGGGAGGCAGCAGUGGGAAUAUUGCGCAAUGGGCGAAAGCCUGACGCAGCGACGCCGCGUGCGGGAUGAAGGCCUUCGGGUUGUAAACCGCUUUCAGCAGGGACGAAGGCGAAAGUGACGGUACCUGCAGAAGAAGCGCCGGCUAACUACGUGCCAGCAGCCGC
rnacentral:rRNA from 1 species